rnacentral:piRNA from 1 species
UCGAGGAGUCGUGGAUUCACUGCAGUGUG